AGGAGAGUUCACUGACAUUACGGGUGGAAGUAUAUUUUUAACUGUGUUCUUAGGGAUGCCACCCACAAACACUUGCACCUGUUUAGAGACUUUCAGAUGUUUUCUUUACAAAGGAACAGCACCAUAUGAACAUACAGAACCACCAUUAGCAAACUGAGGAUCCUGUGACAAUGGAGAUUUAUGACGUGAGGCACCCUAAAUGGAAGUCGUCUUGCUUAUAUUACAAUAAAUGCAUGUACUUUUCUCCACAGUCCAGUUUGCUGACUAUUUCAAUUGAAUAUCUGGGCAAUAGAAUAUCAUAUUUUUUUGAAGACAUUGUUGCCUCCACUUACUAACAGGUUUUUAAAAGUUUUAAGUCUAUGAAUCCCACCAUUGAAAAGGAUGAUUACAAACUCAAUGUGGCAAAUCAGGUUGAAUUCGCACUGCUGGACCCAAAAUUCAAUGGUGUCAAUCUGGAGAAUGUCAGAGAGACUGAGAGACCAGGCACAGAUCAGUCAGCAGCACACUGCCUCACAAACACACAUGGGGCACAACAAGUGCACAAGUUACAAGAAAUGCAAAGAAGAGCUCCAAAAGUCUUUGAGAAGCACAAGGGUACAACUAUUGGGACAAAUCUAAUUCACACUGGCAUCAAUGACAUUCGACAUUGACAGUUGGAUCUCCUGAAAACAGACAACACAUACCUCAUUCUGGUUAUAAAGUAGAGGAUCCGGGCUGCAAAAUCGUUGAAACAGGUCCACUUCUCACACUGCGCAGAUCAGAUGAAACCUACAGUGAACUCCUGGCCCUAAACAUAUGAAUGUGAACCUUCUGUGAGAUGCAAAACAUCGGCUUCAUUGACAACUGGGACCUCUUCUGGAUGAGACCACUUUUUUUAUAGAUGUGACAGCCUGCAACCAAUCAGAUGCAGUGCUUGGGUUCUCUCCAACAAUAUCUCAAAGCACCUGAUUAAGGAGCUGUGCAGCCACCUGCAAUGCUGAAAUGAAGGCAGGUGCCCCAGCUGUCCACAAGAACGGCAUCGUUGAAUCCUCUCAAAAGAGGCCUGGAAAUAAUGAGGAAUUACUUAAGAACAUUUAUGUUAGGUAGAAUAGCCACUGGAUGCUGGGUGGGCUUAUGGCCUUGGAACCCCUGUAGAUUUCUUUUUUCUUGCCCUCCUGGCCAUCUGACCUAACCAUUAGACUCACCCUUAGAGACUUCUUAUGAUAUUUUAUAUUAAGUAUAUAACCUUUCUACCAAUUAUAUAUGUUUUAUAAAAUCUAAUUGAUUUAUGU